CCCUUCUUAUGAAAUUUCGUCCUCGAAAUUAUGGUGCGUACCUGGUAUGUCGAAGAGGUGAGGAUACCUUGACUUCAUUUCAAAUUCUAACUCUUGAGGUAUAACCUUUUAGCGUUGAAUACGAUCCUUCUUAUCCAAGAUUUUAACACGUAUCUCCUCAAACGUUAAAUCUUCUGCUAUCUCGUCUAAUUCUAAUUUAGUAACGUGGUUCGGGUCAUCCACAUAUUUACAUAACAUCGAUACGUAAAAAAAAUGUUAUGAACACGCAACAUACUUGGCGGUAAAAAUGAGUCUAUAGGCCACAGUUCAUACUCGAUCGAGGAUUUCAAAUGGGCCAAUUAAAUCGAGGGUUGAGAUAACGCCUUCUUGAACCUUCUUCUUCACAUCCAUCAUAUUCGGGUUGUAGCUUAAGCAAUUUUAACUUUAUCGAUUAAAGUCGAUUGUACUCGUAUAUUCGUUAUCUUCAUGUGGGACCCUAGAGUCUUUAACUCUAUAAUUUGUAAGUUAUACGAAAUUGAUUUUUGUGUUAACAACAUCGCACUCGUAAACGCAUACAAUCUUCUACUCAAUGCAUCAGCUACCACAUUCGCUCUUGUACAAUGAUAUUGAAUGGUAUAGUUGUAAUCUUCAACAGCUCGAUCCAACGUCUUUGGCGCAUUAUACGUUCGUUUUAGUUAAAGAAAUAUUUAAGGGUUUUAGAAAUGGGUUUUGUACUGGGGUCAAUACAAAAUUCAAUUUCACGCUCUGGGUAGGCCAGGAAGUUCUUCGAGAAUACGUCAGGUAAUUUAUUAACGAUAGAAAUAUCAUUUAAAAACUGUGACUCUCAUCCAAGACUUGGAUAACACAUGAAAUGAAGGUUUCUCCUAACGGAUUUUCAACUGAUAAGUCAAAGUCUAACUUCUCCGGAGUCAAAUUUAAAUGUUGAGCGCAAGAAAGAGAG
rnacentral:lncRNA from 1 species